UACGGAGGGUGCGAGCGUUACCCGGAAUCACUGGGCGUAAAGGGCGUGUAGGCGGGGAAAUAAGUCUGACUUCAAAGGCUGAGGCUCAACCUCAGUAAGGGGUUGGAUACUGUUUUUCUAGACCACUGGAGAGGCAACUGGAAUUCUUGGUGUAGCGGUGGAAUGCGUAGAUACCAAGAGGAACACCAAUGGCGAAGGCAGGUUGCUGGACAGAGCGGUGACGCUGAGGCGCGAAAGUGUGGGGAGCGAACCGG
rnacentral:rRNA from 1 species